AAUAGAUACCCUGGUAGUCCACGCCGUAAACGAUGGAUGCUAGCUGUUAUGCGUAUCGACCCGUGUAGUAGCGAAGCUAACGCGUUAAGCAUCCCACCUGGGGAGUACGAACGCAAGUUUAAAACUCAAAGGAAUUGACGGGGACCCGCACAAGCGGUGGAGCGUGUUCUUUAAUUCGAGGCUAAGCGAAGAACCUUACCAGGGCUUGACAUCCUUGGAAUUUCUCCGAAAGGAGAGAGUACUUUAUUGGACCAAGUGACAGGUGCUGCAUGGCCGUCGUCAGCUCGUGUCGUGAGAUGUUUGGUUAAGUCCAUUAACGAGCGCAACCCUUAUGAAUAGUUGUAUUUUUCUAUUCAGACUGCCCCGGUAACGGGGAGGAAGGGGGGAUGAUGUCAGGUCAGUAUUGCCCUUACGCCCUGGGCUAGAAACGCGCUACAAUGGCCGGUACAAUGCGCUGCCAACCCGCGAGGGGGAGCAAAUCGCAUCAAAGCCGGUCCCAGUUCGGAUAAGAGGCUGAAACUCGCCUCUUUGAAGCCGGAAUCGCUAGUAAUCGU
rnacentral:rRNA from 1 species